UCCAAUACAUAUUAUUAUGUAAAUUGUAAAUACUAAAUAUUAAAUAAUAAUAUGAAAUAUACUGAUCAAGGUGGUUUUAUAAUAUUAUAUAAAUUAUUAUAAAUCCACCUUGGUUAUGAUAUAUGGCAUGAUACAAUAUAUUAUACAAAUUAUGUUCGUGGUCUACCGUUUUGUGUUCUAUCGGCAGCUGCUAUUGUUCAGCCCAUAGAAAAGAGAUUAAGUUUUGAUUAAGAGAUUUGGUUCAGCCCAAAAGUCAAAAGGCAUCCCACCGAGGCAUGAGCACAACCGAAAAUUAUUUACACUUCCGAAUUCUGACUUAGACUUUAAUCUGAGUAUCUAUUUUCAAUUAAUUUAUCAUUAUUAUUAUUAUUUUUACUACUCCCCAUGAUUUCAGGUAAAAGUGUCAAAAGGCUAGGUAUUGCAUUAUUCCAACAAAAGAUUAUAUUUUCAAUGAUAUAAUUGAUGUACAAAGCGUUCCAAAGAAGUCGAAAUCGAGUGAUACUGGGAGUCUAGCGGUUGAAGAGGUGCCAUACACAAUAUGUAGACUAAAAGAUAUGGUUCGACAUAUUUAUCAUUUGAAAGUUGUUAUAGAAAACCAUCAGCUAUUCGACAAGGUUUGGUCUAAAAUAAAGCUGGUAAAGACUGACAGUGACAUAAUAAAUCCAGCUUGCAGCUUAAAAUAAUAUGACCGGUGAAGUACAGUCAUCAAGUUCUUUAUCAAAAAAAAAUAAUUUAUUUAACCAAUUGAUACAGCCAAAAUUAUUCUCCUGCCUUCUACUUUGGAUGACAAUACCAUUAUCUGAAAAUAAAAACGAUUUUGUACAGCCACCAUUAGCAAUAGAAGUUUAUUUCCAACUGUCAAAAAAUGUAUUAACAUUAAUAAGAACUAUGAAAUUUCUAUUUGGAUUUAUGGGAUUAAGAGUAUUGUGGUACAAAAGAAGCUUUUAAUUUAUAUUUAAAAGUUAAAUAUUGACGACUUUAAUACUAGUUCAAUAACCAUGUAGAAUAAUAUGCUUUAUUAGACAGCUUCAACCGAAUUAAGAAAAAAAAAGGCUUGGGACUACUUUCAAAAAGUUCACAAAGAAGACAUAAAACAUCCCAGAAAUUUAGGAAUUGUACCUCGGAUAAUUGCCCAAGACCUAGACUUGACGCCAAUGUCAAAAAUGCGAGUUCGACUACGUACUCGGGUUUUUAUUAUGAGUAUGGCAAACACAAUAUGAUACUACAUUGUGGUCAAAUUUUAGUUAGAAAAUUGAUUUACAUCUAAGGAGAGGUUAAGGUGUUAUGAUAGCUCAGCUAGUAUUAAAAGCAAUAUCACUGCUAGAAAAUAUUGCAUUAUAUAUUGAUGGUAUAAUGUGUGUUGGUGCCACUACCAAUUGUCACAUGUGAAAAAAAAAACAGAGUUGAUGGAACAAAAGAUAAUUUAAAGAAUUACUUUGAAACAUUCAAUUGAUCCAAGUCAUAAAAUCUAUGCAACUUCUGUUUCUGGGGAAAGUUUUUCAUUAAAGGUAAAAAUAAUAUUUCAUGAAACCAUUUGGCAAAAACCGACUUCAUGCGGAUGAUUUCCAGUUAUCUAUUUCACUGGUUUUAAGCUGACGUUUCGGACUUAUUGCAGAGUCCAUCUUCAGGGUGAUGAUAGUCACGACUGUUCAUUUGUCGUUGCCAUGCUGAGUACAAAAUUAAAUACGGACGUACUUGCUGGGACUUGGGUAAAACGGACCCAUUUAACAUGCCAUGCUUUACCCUAAAAAUCAACA